UACGUAGGGGGCAAGCGUUGUCCGGAAUCAUUGGGCGUAAAGCGCGCGUAGGCGGCCCGGUAAGUCCGUUGUGAAAGUCAAAGGCUCAACCUUUGAACGCCGAUGGAUACUGCCGGGCUAGAGUCCGGAAGAGGCGAGUGGAAUUCCUGGUGUAGCGGUGGAAUGCGCAGAUAUCAGGAGGAACACCGGUGGCGAAAGCGCUCUGCUAGGCCGCAACUGACACUGAGGGACGAAAGCUAGGGGAGCGAAUGGG
rnacentral:rRNA from 1 species